ACCCCCACCCUUGCGCCGGCCGGGCCGGUCAGGGGGAACCCGCUCGCUUCGCCCGGCCGCGGGCGGGGAGGGGAGGGGAGCGGCCCGGCCCACUAUGCAAAGCGCCGGGCGCCGCCGCCGCCACCCCGUGGCAAAGGUAAAAGGGUCGGGUUCAGCCGCCGCCGCGGCGCCUCCAUGUCCGCGCGCCAGGCCCGCCCCCUCCGCCGCCGGCCCGAGCCCGCCCGACCCUCUUUCAAUUUUACCUCAGGAUUUGGCGCCAAAGCGGCCUCGAAGCGGGUCCCGUGUCUGCGGCGGGCGGCCCCCGGCGCGGAGGGCAGGGCGCGGGGAGCCCGGGCUCCCGGUGUCGGCGGAUGGCGGGAGCCCGGGGGCCGCGGGCUCGCGGGGCAGCGGGCGAGAGACGAGACGCCGAGAAUAUGCUUUUUGUCUAAUGAUGUUAGAUAAAAAGCAAAUUUGGAGCAGUUUUCUUAUUCGAGUUCAAAAUGGUUCAUAAAGCAGCGAAGACAACUCAAAACAUCAGUAACACAUUUGGCCCAGGAACUGCUAACAAACAUACAGUGCAGUGGUGGCUUAAGAAGUUUUGCAAGGAAGAGAGCCUUGAAGAUGAGGAACGUGAUAUGGGCCAUGGGAAGUUGACAACGACCAAUUGAGAGCAAUCAUUGAACUACAUGAAAAAUUACAGAAGAACUCAGCGUUGACUAUUCUACGGUCAUUAGGGUCGUUCAGCAUUCGAAGCAAAUUGGAAAGGUGAAAAAGCUUGAUAAGUGGGUGCCUCAUGAGCUGAGCGGAAAUCAAAACUAUCGUUUUGAAGUGUAGUCUUCUUUUAUGCUACGCAACAACAAACCAUUUCUCAAUCGGAUUGUGACAUGUAAUGAAAAGUGAAUUUUAUACAACAACCAGCUCAGUGGUUGGACCAAGAGGCAGCUCCAAAGCAGUUCCCAAAGCCAAACUUGCACCAAAAAAAAGGUCAUGGUCACUGUUCGGUGGUCUGCUGCCCAUCUGAUCCACUACAGUUUUCUGAAUCCUGGUGAAACCAUUACAUCUGAGAAGUAUGCUCAGCAAAUUGGUAAGAUGCACCGAAAACUGCAAUACCUGCUGCCUGCAUUGGUCAACAGAAAGGGCCCAAUUCUUCUCCACGACAACACCUGACUGCGUGUCGCACAACCAGUGCUUCAAAAGUUGAAGGAAUUGGGCUACAAAGUUUUGCCUCAUCCACCAUAUUCACCUGACCUUUCGCCAACUGACUACCACUUCUGCUAGCAUCUUGACAACUUUUUGCAGGGAAAACACUUCAGCAUGGUGCAGAAAAUGCUUUCCAAGAGUUCGUCAAAUCCUGAAGCACGGAUUUUUAUGCUACAGGAAUAAACAAACAUUUCUCAUUGGCAAAAAUGUGUUGAUUGUAAUGGUUCCUGUUUUGAUUAAUAGAAUAUGUUUUAGCGUAGUUACAAUGAUUUAAAAUUCGCAGUCUGGAAAUUUAAUUUUUGCAUCAACCUAAUAUUUCUAUGGUAAAUCCUUGCAAACAUGGAAACAAUGCAUUUGGCCCAGUGCUUUGUGGUUGUGUACUCUUUUUCUUUGUUUUUUUAAUAGAUGGCAUUGGCCGGGCAUGGUGGCUCAUGCCUGUAAUCCCAGCAUUUUGGGAAGGUGAGGUGGGUGGAUCACCUGAGGUCAGGAGUUCAAGACCAGCCUGACUAACAUGGUAAAACCCCAUCUCUACUAAAAAUACAAAAAAAUUAGCUAGGCGGGGUGGCGGGCAUCUAAUUCCAGCUACUUCAUGAGGCUGCGACAGGAGAAUCAUUUGAACUCGGGAGGCAGAGGUUGCAGUGAGCCGAGAUCACACCAUUGCACUCCAGCCUGGGCGAUGAGCGAAACUGUCUCAAAAAAAAAAAAA
rnacentral:lncRNA from 1 species